UACCAGCACCCCGAGUGGUCGGGACGAUUAUUGGGCCUAAAGCAUCCGUAGCCGGUUCUACAAGUCUUCCGUUAAAUCCACCUGCUUAACAGAUGGGCUGCGGAGGAUACUAUAGAGCUAGGAGGCAGGAGAGGCAAGCGGUACUCAGUGGGUAGGGGUAAAAUCCGUUGAUCCAUUGAAGACCACCAGUGGCGAAGGCGGCUUGCCAGAAUGCGCUCGACGGUGAGGGAUGAAAGCUGGGGGAGCAAACCGG
rnacentral:rRNA from 1 species